rnacentral:lncRNA from 1 species
CCCCGCCGCGAGCGAGGGCGGGGACCGCUGCGCCUACCUGCCUUUCCCUCCAUAGGGACUUCCCAAAGGAAAGGAGGGCGUUUAGGGGCUUUCACACGCCUGAUCUUAAACACAGCGCCCUGACCCCUCCCCACCAAAAACGGCAAAAUGUCAUUUUUGGGGGCAAAUCUAAGGUUUUCCCUACAAUUGUUCAAGCUUUCACACUAAAACAUUUACCUAAAAACGGGCAGAAAUUCAGCCUUAAACCCACAAAUCUCACGAUGGUAUAGACCCUGGGCCCACUCAGGUUUCCUGAAAACUAAACAGUUCUGGAGUUAGGGGUUUGGAGAACGGGCUAUUGUUAAAGAAAAAAGUAUUUAGUGACACUUGUUAAAGCACAAAAAGAGGGCUUUAUUCAGGACCAUCGCAACAGGUAUAGGGACCACUGACUGCAAUGGAGACUUGCAGUAGGGAAAGAGAUAUUGGGCUCAACUCCUCAUACAGCAUGGGCAAGUGGAGAUUUAUAGCCAAGGAGCGGUGACAGGCCAAGAUAAUGAGGCAUCACCUGGGGGAUGGUGGAGACUGAAGAACCUGAUCAGAUAUUGAGGAUGAUCAGCUAUCAAGGAUGGGGGUUUAUUGCUAAUCUGACUUAGCAAAGUUCUUUGCUUAAACUGGAUUUUACAAAGAAAGUGUACAGAAGAGCCUAGCAGAAGAUUCAGAAACCUGACUAAAGUUGGCCAAGCAAAAAAAAAAAUCUUUGUAUCUGAAGGGAUAUGUUAUCCUCUGGACAAAUUGAGGGGGACUGUGCGUUAACAAUCUUAGCAGUCCUCUUCAGUUGUACCACCAUCUCCACUUUAAUAAAAAAAAAUUUUCUUUCAAAUCUGGCCUCUCUCCCUUUAAGAUUCUGUUACAUUGGUGCCCCCGCAUUCACCUGUCACUUACCAUGUAAUCUGUUGUUCCAGGUGCAUUAGUAUUACUACUGGGCUCCAAGUUCCUCAUCUGAAAUCUGUCUCCUCUGGAAAUACUUAUUUACAAGACGACGUUUCUUGUCACAACGCAGGUUUAAACAGCAGCUUUUAAAUGUUUACUGUGGGAAGAAUAGUCAAGGGAGUGGUGCGUUGGGAAGACAGACCAGAGUUUGCUGCUGGCACUGUUACGCAGGGACUGUUUGGCAUGACCUUCACUCCUUUUCUGGUUCUUUGGUCUUUCUAAGGUGGCCUCAAUUUCUUUAUCAGUAAAUAAGAUUAUCUCUGAGAUGUCAUUCACUCAAAUAGCCAUUUUAUAAAAAUCUACUUGCAUCUUCAACUUC